UACGUAGGCAGCGAGCGUUGUUCGGAGUUACUGGGCGUAAAGAGUGCGUAGGCGGUCUUCUAAGUUUGGUGUGAAAUCUCCCGGCUUAACUGGGAGGGUGCGCCGAAGACUGGAAGGCUUGAGUAUGGGAGAGGUAAGCGGAAUUCCUGGUGUAGCGGUGAAAUGCGUAGAUAUCAGGAGGAACACCUGCGGUGUAGACGGCUUACUGGACCAUCACUGACGCUGAGGCACGAAAGCGUGGGUAGCAAACAGG
rnacentral:rRNA from 1 species